CUUGGCUAAGGUGUCUUGGCUAAGGUGUCUUGGCUAAGGUGUUUUGGCUAAGGUGUCUUGGCUAAGGUGUCUUGGCUAAGGUGUCUUGGCUAAUGUGUCUCGGCUAAUGUGUCUUGGCUAAGGUGUCUUGGCUAAGGUGUCUUGGCUAAUGUGUCUCGGCUAAAGUGUCUUGGCUUAGGUGUCUUGGCUUAGGUGUCUUGGCUAAGGUGUCUUGGCUUAGGUGUCUUGGCUAAGGUGUCUUGGCUAAGGUGUCUUGGCUAAUGUGUCUUGGCUAAGGUGUCUUGGCUAAGGUGUCUUGGCUAAUGUGUCUCGGCUAAUGUGUCUUGGCUAAGGUGUCUUGGCUAAUGUGUCUUGGCUAAUGUGUCUCGGCUUAUGUGUCUUGGCUAAUGUGUCUUGGCUAAAGUGUCUUGGCUAAGGUGUCUUGGCUAAUGUGUCUUGGCUAAGGUGUCUUGGCUAAUGUGUCUCGGCUAAAGUGUCUUGGCUAAGGUGUCUUGGCUAAGGUGUCUUGGCUAAUGUGUCUCGGCUAAUGUGUCUUGGCUAAGGUGUCUUGGCUAAGGUGUCUUGGCUAAUGUGUCUUGGCUUAGGUGUCUUGGCUAAUGUGUCUCGGCGAAAGUGUCUUGGCUAAGGUGUCUUGGCUAAGGUGUCUUGGCUAAUGUGUCUUGGCUAAUGUGUCUCGGCUAAUGUGUCUUGGCUUAGGUGUCUUGGCUAAUGUGUCUCGGCUAAGGUGUCUUGGCUAAGGUGUCUUGGCUAAUGUCUCUCGGCUAAUGUGUCUUGGCUAAGGUGUCUUGGCUAAGGUGUCUUGGCUAAUGUGUCUCGGCUAAUGUGUCUUGGCUUAGGUGUCUUGGCUAAGGUGUCUUGGCUAAUGUGUCUUGGCUUAGGUGUCUUGGCUAAUGUGUCUUGGCUUAGGUGUCUUGGCUAAUGUGUCUUGGCUAAUGUGUCGUGGCUAAUGUGUCUUGGAUAAUGUGUCUCGGCUAAUGUGUCUUGGCUAAGGUGUCUUGGCUAAGGUGUCUUGGCUAAGGUGUCUUGGCUAAGGUGUCUUGGCUAAGGUGUCUUGGCUAAGGUGUCUUGGCUAAUGCGUCUCGGCUAAUGUGUCUUGGCUAAGGUGUCUUGGCUAAGGUGUCUUGGCUAAUGUGUCUUGGCUAAGGUGUCUUGGCUAAUGUGUCUCGGCUAAUGUGUCUUGGCUAAGGUGUCUUGGCUAAGGUGUCUUGGCUAAUGUGUCUCGGCUAAUGUGUCUCGGCUAAUGUGUCUUGGCUAAGGUGUCUUGGCUUAGGUGUCUUGGCUAAGGUGUCUUGGCUAAGGUGUCUUGGCUAAUGUGUCUUGGCUAAGGUGUCUUGGCUAAUGUGUCUCGGCUAAGGUGUCUUGGCUAAGGUGUCUUGGCUAAUGUGUCUUGGCUAAUGUGUCUCGGCAAAUGUGUCUUGGCUAAGGUGUCUUGGCUAAGGUGUCUUGGCUAAUGUGUCUUGGCUUAGGUGUCUUGGCUAAUGUGUCUCGGCUAAAGUGUCUUGGCUAAGGUGUCUUGGCUAAGGUGUCUUGGCUAAUGUGUCUUGGCUAAUGUGUCUCGGCUAAUGUGUCUUGGCUAAGGUGUCUUGGCUUAGGUGUCUUGGCUAAGGUGUCUUGGCUAAGGUGUCUUGGCUAAUGUGUCUUGGCUAAGGUGUCUUGGCUAAUGUGUCUCGGCUAAAGUGUCUUGGCUAAAGUGUCUUGGCUUAGGUGUCUUGGCUAAUGUGUCUUGGCUAAGGUGUCUUGGCUAAGGUGUCUUGGCUAAGGUGUCUUGGCUAAUGUGUCGUGGCUAAUGUGUCUUGGCUAAUGUGUCUUGGCUUAGGUGUCUUGGUUAAGGUGUCUUGGCUAAGGUGUCUUGGCUAAUGUGUCUUGGCUAAGGUGUCUUGGCUAAUGUGUCUCGGCUAAUGUGUCUUGGCUAAUGUGUCUUGGCUAAGGUGUCUUGGCUAAUGUGUCUUGGCUAAUGUGUCUCGGCUAAUGUGUCUCGGCUAAGGUGUCUUGGCUAAUGUGUCUUGGCUAAGGUGUCUUGGCUAAUGUGUCUUGGCUAAGGUGUCUUGGCUAAUGUGUCUUGGCUAAUGUGUCUUGGCUAAUGUGUCUUGGCUAAGGUGUCUUGGCUAAUGUGUCUUGGCUAAGGUGUCUUGGCUAAUGUGUCUUGGCUAAUGUGUCUUGGCUAAUGUGUCUUGGCUAAGGUGUCUUGGCUAAUGUGUCUUGGCUAAGGUGUCUUGGCUAAGGUGUCUUGGCUAAGGUGUCUUGGCUAAUGUGUCUUGGCUAAUGUGUCUUGACUAAUGUGUCUUGGCUAAGGUGUCUUGGCUAAUGUGUCUUGGCUUAGGUGUCUUGGCUAAUGUGUCUUGGCUAAUGUGUCUUGGCUAAUGUGUCUUGGCUAAGGUGUCUUGGCUAAUGUGUCUUGUCUAUUGUGUCUUGGCUAAGGUGUCUUGGCUAAUGUGUCUUGGCUAAUGUGUCUUGGCUAAUGUGUCUUGGCUAAGGUGUCUUGGCUAAUGUGUCUUGGCUAAGGUGUCUUGGCUAAUGUGUCUUGGCUAAAGUGUCUUGGCUAAUGUGUCUUGGCUAAUGUGUCUUGGCUAAUGUGUCUUGGCUAAUGUGUCUUGGCUAAUGUGUCUUGGCUAAGGUGUCUUGGCUAAUGUGUCUUGGCUAAGGUGUCUUGGCUAAUGUGUCUUGGCUAAGGUGUCUUGGCUAAUGUGUCUUGGCUAAGGUGUCUUGGCUAAGGUGUCUUGGCUAAGGUGUCUUGGCUAAGGUGUCUUGGCUAAUGUGUCUUGGCUAAGGUGUCUUGGCUAAUGUGUCUUGGCUAAGGUGUCUUGGCUAAGGUGUCUUGGCUAAUGUGUCUUGGCUAAGGUGUCUUGGCUAAGGUGUCUUGGCUAAGGUGUCUUGGCUAAUGUGUCUUGGCUAAGGUGUCUUGGCUAAUGUGUCUUGGCUAAGGUGUCUUGGCUAAGGUGUCUUGGCUAAGGUGUCUUGGCUAAGGUGUCUUGGCUAAUGUGUCUUGGCUAAGGUGUCUUGGCUAAUGUGUCUUGGCUAAGGUGUCUUGGCUAUUGUGUCUUGGCUAAGGUGUCUUGGCUAAUGUGUCUUGGCUAAUGUGUCUUGGCUAAUGUGUCUCGGCUAAUGUGUCUUGGCUAAGGUGUCUUGGCUAAGGUGUCUUGGCUAAGGUGUCUCGGCUAAUGUGUCUUGGCUAAGGUGUCUUGGCUAAUGUGUCUUGGCUAAUGUGUCUUGGCUAAGGUGUCUUGGCUAAGGUGUCUUGGCUAAUGUGUCUCGGCUAAGGUGUCUUGGCUAAUGUGUCUUGGCUAAUGUGUCUUGGCUAAGGUGUCUUGGCAAAUGUGUCUUGGCUUAUGUGUCUCGGCUAAUGUGUCUUGGCUAAGGUGUCUUGGCUAAUGUGUCUUGGCUAAAGUGUCUUGGCUAAUGUGUCUUGGCUAAUGUGUCUUGGCUAAUGUGUCUUGGCUAAUGUGUCUUGGCUAAGGUGUCUUGGCUAAGGUGUCUUGGCUAAGGUGU